GACAGAGGGUGCAAGCGUUAAUCGGAAUUACUGGGCGUAAAGCGCUCGUAGGUGGCUAAUUAAGUCGGAUGUGAAAGCCCUGGGCUUAACCUGGGAAUGCCAUUCGAGACUGGUUAGCUAGAGGUGGGUAGAGGAAGGUGGAAUUUCCGGUGUAGCGGUGAAAUGCGUAGAUAUCGGAAGGAACACCAGUGGCGAAGGCGACCUUCUGGACCCAACCUGACACUGAGGAGCGAAAGCGUGGGGAGCAAACAGG
rnacentral:rRNA from 1 species